rnacentral:rRNA from 1 species
CCUACGGGGGGCAGCAGUGGGGAAUAUUGCGCAAUGGGCGAAAGCCUGACGCAGCGACGCCGCGUGAGGGAUGAAGGUCUUCGGAUCGUAAACCUCUGUCAGCAGGGAAGAACGGUCACUGUGCUAAUCAGCAGUGACUUGACGGUACCUGCAAAGGAAGCACCGGCUAACUCCGUGCCAGCAGCCGCGGUAAUACGGAGGGUGCGAGCGUUAAUGGGAAUUACUGGGCGGAAAGCGCUCGUAGGCGGUAUGUUAAGUCAAGGGUGAAAUCCCCGCGCACAACGUGGGAACUGCCUUUGAAACUGGCAAACUGGAGUGUGUGAGAGGAUAGUGGAAUUCCAGGUGUAGGAGUGAAAUCCGUAGAUAUCUGGAGGAACAUCAGUGGCGAAGGCGACUAUCUGGCACAUAACUGACGCUGAGGAGCGAAAGCGUGGGUAGCAAACAGGAUUAGAUACCCUAGUAGUC